rnacentral:rRNA from 1 species
ACGGGAUUCCCGGUGUAGCAAUACAACGGGAUGACAGUGGCGAAAGGGUGCGUAACACGUGGGUAAUCUGCCGUUAAGUUGGGGAUAACCCGCCGAAAGGCGGGCUAAUACCGAAUGUGGUUAUCCCGCGCAUGCGGGAUGGACUGAAGAUAGGGACCUUCGGGCCUGUCGCUUAAUGAGGAACCCGCGUCCUAUCAGCUUGUUGGUGAGGUAACGGCCCACCAAGGCUUACGGGUAGCUGGUCUUAGAGGAUGGUCAGCCACACUGGGACUGAGACACUGCCCAGACUCCUACGGGAGGCUGCAGUCGAGGAUCAUUCGCAAUGGGCGCAAGCCUGACGAUGCGACGCUGCGUGGAGGAUGACGGCCUUCGGGUUGUAAACUCCUGUCAUUCGGGAACAAGGAACCGUCGGGAAUACCGGCGGAACUCGCUAGUACCGGAAGAGGAAGCCACGGCUAACUCUGUGCCAGCAGCCGCGGUAAUACAGAGGUGGCGAGCGUUGUUCGGAUUUACUGGGCGUAAAGGGUGCGUAGGUGGUUUCGUGUGUCGGACGUGAAAGCCCACUGCUUAACGGUGGAACGGCGUUCGAAACUACGAGGCUGGAGUGCAGGAGAGGAGAGCGGAAUUCUUGGUGUAGCGGUGGAAUGCGUUGAUAUCAAGAAGAAUACCGGUGGCGUAGGCGGCUCUCUGGAAUGCAACUGACACUGAGGCACGAAAGCGUGGGGAGCAAACAGGAUUAGAUACCCUGGUAGUCCACGCCCUAAACGGUGCACACUUGGUGUAGGAGGAAUUGACCCCUUCUGUGCCGGAGUUAACGCGUUAAGUGUGCCGCCUGGGGAGUACGGUCGCAAGAUCAAAACUCAAAGAAAUUGACGGGGGCCCGCACAAGCGGAGGAGCAUGUGGCUUAAUUCGAUGCAACGCGAAGAACCUUACCAGGACUUGACAUGCAGCUGCACGCCCCGUGAAAGCGGGGUUCCUUCGAGGGUGCUGCACAGGUGCUGCAUGGCUGUCGUCAGUUCGUGCCGUGAGGUGUUGGGUUAAGUCCCGCAACGAACGCAACCCUUGUGGCUAGUUGCCAGCGCAGGUGAUGAAUUUGCGCGCACUCUAGCCAGACUGCCCGUGAUAAGUGGGAGGAAGGUGGGGAUGACGUCAAGUCAGUAUGGCCUUUAUGUCCUGGGCUGCACACGUGCUACAAUGGUCGGCACAGAGGGAAGCAAGACCGCGAGGUGGAGCAAAUCCCACAAAACCGGCCUCAGUUCAGAUUGAAGGCUGCAACUCGCCUUCAUGAAGUUGGAUUCGCUAGUAAUGGCGCAUCAGCUACGGC